CUAAGAUCAGGAAGCGAUUGAGAAAAAAAACCCAGAAAUUUGUCAGUGAAAAAGUUUUAAGCUUAUCUGAUUCUUUUAAGACAGCAAAAGAUGUUGACAUAUCUCGGGAAGGAGUCAUUAAGAGUCGUCCACGCGGCACAAAAAAUGGGUAUGACAAUUCCCAAAGGAGCUGGUCAUGGACCUUUGCCGUCCUUCAUCCAGAGCCUUCCACAGCGAUGGCAGAUAUAUUGCUGCUUGGAUCAACACUUGACCAUGCCGUUGAGUCCAGGAUCUCAGUAGCAGCCAUAACAACAUCAACAGAAUGACAUCUGCCUAUGGAUGCAUACAUUUUGCACCUCUUCCUUGUGCUGUCAGUUUGAAACGUCUCUACUCUGACAGAAGGAAGUGAAUGAAUCCCCAGGAUUGUUCCUCCGGAAAAUCUCUUCAACCGGCUGUUGACAGUUUGCAUACUCUUUGGAUGGAAUUACCUUAGCUUGGCUUGCAGAGAAUCUGUUAUGUAAAAAAACUGGGCUGCUUUGUGUUAUUGAUUUAUUGACCUUAAAUGUAUUUUAUAUGUAUUUUGCCACUAUUGUAAAAAACAAUGGGCAUACGCACUAGUAUAUGUUUGCAAACAGACACAUUUUAUUUUAGUAAAUAACUUGAAAAUACAUUUUGUAGGUUGAGCUCAGACCAUGAAAGAUUAAUGGUAGGUUAUCUUUGACCAGAACAUGACCAGUAUUGUUUUUGAAGUUUGUUGGUCAAAGGUGAUGGUCAUGGCAAACAGUGGUUAUUCUGCACAAUGACCCUUUAAUUCUUUGACCUUAUACCAUUGAUAUCUAGUGAUUGAUAUAUCAGUCCAACACAUAUGUAACAGGGUCCUGCUGAAAUUCAGCAAGAACUUAUUAGCAUUGCAAAUCAUUAUUUGUGCAUGUAACUGUAAAUACUAUUACGCUUUGUGUCAGAAACUUGACCAUCACGAAUUAGGGUCAUUGUUGACCUUAUCUUGUUUCAUUAUUUUGCAUGUUUUGUCUCAAAAGCAUCGUUCAUUUAAGAUUAAACAAUAGAACAGAUCUCAAUUGUGUGAAAAACUGCUGAAAAUUUUAAUUUUCUUAAAGCGUCUAUAAGUAACUUUUGUAGUCAUAAAACAUCGAUUAUCAAUUGAAGGGGGUGAAAGCAAAAAGGUUCUAUCUGCUUCUUUAUCUAAUGUCACUUAGAACAUUUUUGCAUUCACUCAUCUUAUUGGAAAAACUAUCUGAUCUUUUGACAGCAGUCAUAUAUAUCACUGUUUUCUAGACAUCUACCAAAUAUACCUCAUUUCAAGACAAUAAAGAUGUCAAAUCAGUCGAUCCGGCUGUGAGAGAGCAGCUUUAAACAAAGACUAUUUGAGAUAUUUUAUGUUUCAGAGCCAAUGUUUUUGUAUAAUGAUAUAAAGAGUUUUGCAUUUAUAUGUUUUUAAAUCUGUGUAAUUUAUUCAACUUCCUUAUUAUGUCAAUAUUGUAAAAAAGGUUAUAAAAUAGGCUAAAUAUGCACCAUGCACAUGAAUUGUUUAAAAUCACCCUGAGCCUCACUGCAAACAUUUAAAACUGUAUAAUUUUCAUAUCUGAGGGAGAGGAUGUGUCAAAAGGCUGUGCCCUUAUUCACCCCCUCUUAUAUCAAUUCCUGCUUGUAUUUAAUACCAGGAAAUCACUGAUAAUGCUUUUAAUAGUAAAACAUUCUUUAUGGUCAAAAGUCAAUAUUACAGUCAUUGCUUUUUAACCAAAUUAUUUUAAUAAAUUUAUGUAUGUAAGAUCUUUGCAUUUACUGACAGAUAAUUGUCUAAAUUAGUUAAGAGAACAAUAAAAGGUUA